ACGGAGAGUAGCAACCCAACUUUAUGAGCUGUCUUCUUCUAGAAUACUCUUAUGAAAAUAUAUGCUUCACAAACCAACAGCUUCUGGAGAAGAUCAAUAGACUGAAAUCGAUUAACUAUCUUAUAAUAUUCCACAUAACCCUUUAAUGGUUUUGUUUUGAUAUGGACUUCAACUCCAUCCCCGAUCGACCUCCGCUUCAGUGAUAUUUGGACCAGCAGUUCCAUAAACGAGAUCCCUACCCAUGAUAACCGCCUGCAGACAUGCAAUGGCUUCAGCUGCGAAUCCUGAAGCAGCGUCGAAGUUUAUUUUAUAGAAUCCUUGUUCCAAAGGUCUCCAUAUAACAGCUUCCGGACUUAAGGCAAG